AUGGCCCGUACUAAGCAGACCGCUCGCAAGUCCACCGGCGGCAAGGCUCCGCGCAAGCAGCUGGCCACCAAGGCCGCCCGCAAGAGCGCCCCGGCCACCGGCGGCGUGAAGAAGCCCCACCGCUACCGUCCCGGCACCGCCUGCUUGUGGACGUUGUACAUCGUGGUGCGGAGCCUAGUGCGCACCACGAUGUACAACGUCCACAAGCAGCGAGAUCCGGCGCUACCAGAAGUCGACCGAGCUGCUGAUCCGCAAGCUGCCGUUCCAGCGGCUAGUGCGCGAGAUCGCGCAGGACUUCAAGACCGACCUGCGCUUCCAGAGCUCGGCCGUCAUGGCUCUGCAGGAGGCGAGCGAGGCCUACCUUGUGGGUCUGUUUGAGGACACCAACCUGUGCGCCAUCCACGCCAAGCGUGUCACUAUCAUGCCCAAGGACAUCCAGCUGGCUCGCCGCAUUCGUGGGGAGAGGGCUUAAAUUGAUGAUAGUGAGUGAAGUUGCACCCCAAAGGCUCUUUUCAGAGCCAUCCACAUCUUCUAUAAAGGGCUGUGUAUAGAUAAGCUAUUACGAACCCCCA